rnacentral:misc_RNA from 1 species
GAUGAAGAACGCAGCGAAAUGCGAUAAGUAAUGUGAAUUGCAGAAUUCAGUGAAUCAUCGAAUCUUUGAACGCACAUUGCGCCCGCCAGCACUCUGGCGGGCAUGCCUGUCCGAGCGUCAUUUCAACCCUCGCGCCGUCCCUCCAGGGGGCCCGGCGCGGUGUUGGGGGACACGGCCCCGGCCGCCCCCGAAAUGCAGUGGCGACCCCGCCGCGGCCCCUCCAGCGCAGUAAGCACGCUCGCUACGGGAGGCCCGGUGGACGCGUCCGCCGUAAAACGCCCAACUCUUCAGAAGUUGACCUCGGAUCAGGUAGGGAUACCCGCUGAACUUAAGCAUAUCAAUAAGCGGAGGA